UACGUAGGGUGCGAGCGUUAAUCGGAAUUACUGGGCGUAAAGCGUGCGCAGGCGGUUUUGUAAGACAGGUGUGAAAACCCCGGGCUUAACCUGGGAACUGCAUUUGUGACUACAAGACUAGAGUGUGGCAGAGGGGGGUGGAAUUCCGCGUGUAGCAGUGAAAUGCGUAGAGAUGUGGAGGAACACCGAUGGCGAAGGCAGCCCCCUGGGUCAACACUGACGCUCAGGCACGAAAGCAUGGGGAGCAAACAGG
rnacentral:misc_RNA from 1 species